GGGGAUGACAGGCUUCGACGGAUGAGGCUGGUCCCAAACUGCGGGCCGAGAGGCGCCGAUCUCGUUAAACCAGCGCAACCUUUAAGUGCCAACCGCACUGACUACGCUGCUCUCCCCCUGGCUGCAUAAGCUAGGCUACAAGUAGCGAACUAGCUCCCAGGAGCUACGCCCCCUUCUUCCUCGCUCUGGCUGGAGGGAGGGUCGGCGACCCAAUGCCGGAGUGCGGCACAGGACGCCGCUAAACGUGCCUAAGCAGAGCUUUCGGGCUCCAGCGGCUGGCCAGCAAGUAACUUUGGUCGAUUGUAGGCUUGCUGGCGAGGACUAACAAGCGACUACGCUCGUAGACGUUUGGAGACUUAAUCAUUCGGACGCGGGUUCGAUUCCCGCCAUCUCCACCU
rnacentral:tmRNA from 1 species